UGGGGAAUCUUGCACAAUGGAGGAAACUCUGAUGCAGCGAUGCCGCGUGAGUGAAGAAGGCCUUUGGGUUGUAAAGCUCUUUUGUAGGGGAAGAUAAUGACUGUACCCUAAGAAUAAGGUCCGGCUAACUUCGUG
rnacentral:rRNA from 1 species